rnacentral:rRNA from 1 species
ACUAUCAUUAACUGAAUCCAUAGGUUAAUGAGGCGAACCGGGGGAACUGAAACAUCUAAGUACCCCGAGGAAAAGAAAUCAACCGAGAUUCCCCCAGUAGCGGCGAGCGAACGGGGAGGAGCCCAGAGCCUGAAUCAGCAUGUGUGUUAGUGGAAGCGUCUGGAAAGGCGCGCGAUACAGGGUGACAGCCCCGUACACAAAAGCGCAUGUGCUGUGAGCUCGAUGAGUAGGGCGGGACACGUGGUAUCCUGUCUGAAUAUGGGGGGACCAUCCUCCAAGGCUAAAUACUCCUGACUGACCGAUAGUGAACCAGUACCGUGAGGGAAAGGCGAAAAGAACCCCGGCGAGGGGAGUGAAAAAGAACCUGAAACCGUGUACGUACAAGCAGUGGGAGCCCCACCACCAAAGCAUUUGCUGUACCGCGUUGACGGAGCGAAGCGACGUCAAACCGAUAAAACAGCAGUGUAAAGUGAGCCGCAGGGCGCUUUGCGCGACAGCGCAAAGGCAGGCGGUUUCGCGU